rnacentral:lncRNA from 1 species
CUAGGAGGAGUGCGUCACUUGAGUGAGUCACUGAUGUGAUUUUCCUGUCCGGGUUGGCAUCCCCCUCGGGUUCAUGCCGUGGGGGAAAUCUUUGUGGGCUAUACUCAGCCUUGUCUCAGGGUAGUAAGUUGGUGGUUGAAGAUAUCCCUCUAGUGAUGUGGGGGCUGUGCUUUGGCAAAGUGGGUGGGGUUAUAUCCUGCCUGUUUGGCCCUGUCUGCGGGUAUCACCGGACGGGGCCACAGUGUCUCCCGACCCCUCCUGUCUCAGCCUCCAGUAUUUAUGCUGCAGUAGUUUAUGUGUCGGGGGGCUAGGGUCAGUCUGUUAUAUCUGGAGUAUUUCUCCUGUCUUAUCCUGUGUCCUGUGUGAAUUUAAGUUUGCUCCCUCUAAUUCUCUCCCUCUCCCUCUCCCUCCCCUCCUGGAGGACCUGAGCCUAGGACCAUGCCUCAGGGAUACCUGGCCUGAUGACUCCUUGCUGUCCCCAGUCCACCUGGUUGUGCUGCUGCUCCAGUUUCAACUGUUCUGCCUGCGGCUAUGGAACCCUGACCUGUUCACCGGACGUGCUAUCUGUCCCAGACCUGCUGUUUUCAACUCUCUAGAGACAGCAGGAGCGGUAGAGAUACUCUGAAUGAUCAGCUAUGAAAAGCCAACUGACAUUUACUGAGGUGCUGACCUGUUGCACCCUCGACAACCACUGUGAUUAUUAUUAUUUGACCAUGCUGGUCAUCUAUGAACAUUUGAACAUCUUGGCCAUGUUCUGUUAUAAUCUCCACUCGGCACAGCCAGAAGAGGACUGGCCACCCCUCAUAGCCUGGUUCCUCUCUAGGUUUCUUCCUAGGUUCUGGCCUUUCUAGGGAGUUUUUCCUAUCCACCGUGCUUCUACACCUGCAUUGCUUGCUGUUUGGGGUUUUAGGCUGGGUUUCUGUACAGCACUUUGAGAUAUCAGCUGAUGUAAGAAGGGCUAUAUAAAUACAUUUGAUUUGAUUGACAUACAAAUGAUAAGACACACACUCUACACACACGUACACAUGUUGGUCUGAGGUAAAACACUAAAUGUAUUGUAGUUAUGUGGUCUGAGGUAACACACUAAAUGUAUUGUAGAUAUGUGGUCUGACGUAAAACACUAAAUGUAUUGUAGAUAUGUGGUCUGACGUAAAACACUAAAUGUAUUGUAGAUAUGAGGUAACACACUAAAUGUAUUGUAGAUAUGUGGUAGUAGUGGUCUGAGGUAACACACUAAAUGUAUUGUAGAUAUGUGGUCUGAGCUAAAACACUAAAUGUAUUGUAGAUAUGUGGUCUGACGUAAAACACUAAAUGUAUUGUAGAUAUGAGGUAACACACUAAAUGUAUUGUAGAUAUGUGAUGGUAGAGGUCUGAGGUAAAACACUAAAUGUAUUGUAGAUAUGUGGUCUGAGGUAACACACUAAAUGUAUUGUAGAUAUGUGGUCUGAGGUAACACACUAAAUGUAUUAUAGAUAUGUGGUAGUAGUGGUCUGAGGUAAAACACUAAAUGUAUUGUAGAUAUGUGGUCUGAGGUAACACACUAAAUGUAUUGUAGAUAUGUGGUAGUAGUGGUCUGAGGUAACACACUAAAUGUAUUGUAGAUAUGUGGUAGUAGUGGUCUGAGGUAAAACACUAAAUGUAUUGUAGAUAUGUGGUAGUAGUGGUCUGAGGUAACACACUAAAUGUAUUGUAGAUAUGAGGUCUGAGGUAACACACUAAAUGUAUUGUAGAUAUGUGGUCUGUGGUAACACACUAAAUGUAUUGUAGAUAUGUGGUCUGAGGUAACACACUAAAUGUAUUGUAGAUAUGUGGUAGUAGUGGUCUGAGGUAACACACUAAAUGUAUUGUAGAUAUGUGGUAGUAGUGGUCUGAGAUAAUACACUAAAUGUAUUGUAGAUAUGUGGUCUGAGGUAACACACUAAAUGUAUUGUAGAUAUGUGGUAGUAGAGGUCUGAGGUAACACACUAAAUGUAUUGUAAAAAGUGUUAUGAAAUGUAAUGUCAUGUUAUAUUAUUUGAUGUAUAUAACUUCCUUAAUGUUUCUGGUCCCCAGGGUUUCCUUUAUAAAUACAAAUUCUUGUAUUAAUCAAAUCUUCGCUAAUGAUGCAGAGUUUUGCCUAUAAAGCAAUGCCAUUUUCCGUUGGCAGUAGUCACCGUACAUGGUGACAAUAACAAAGAAGAGCCAAAGGUUUGUAACUUAUAAUUCAUAGAUCAUACAAAGUGUUUUCUCAGGACUCUUUUUGAAGAUGUAAAACGUGUAUGUUGAUUUGAUGUGUAUGAGGAAGUGAAUCUAGACGCAGCACUGGAAAAUUCUAAAAUUAUUCUUGACAAUUGUUGACAAGCAUGCACCUGUUAAGAAACUUAACUCAAAUCAAAUUUUAUUGGUCACAUACACAUAUUUAGCAGAUGUUAUUGCGGGUGUAGUGAAAUGCUUGUGUUUCUAGCUCCAACAGUGCAGUAAUAUCUAACAAUUCACAACAAUACACACAAAUCUAAAAGUAAAAUAAUGGAAUAUUUAAAUAUUAGGAUGAGCAAUGUCGGAGUGGUAUUGACUAAAAUACAGUAGAAUAGAAAACAGUAUGUACAUACGAGACGAUUAAAGCAGUAUGUAAACUUUAUUAAAGUACUAGUGUUUGUAACGUCCGUCUGAAGGAGUAGACCGAGGUUUAAUGCUCAUCAUGUAUUUAUUUUGAUCUUAACACUGAAACAAAGAAACCAAUAACGACCAGCCAAACAGUUCUGUCAGGUAUGUAAUACAAAACAGAAAUUAACCACCCACCAAAACACAACGAGAAAACCCCUACAUAAAUAUGGACUCUAAUCAGAGGCAAUGAGAUUCAGCUGCCUCCAAUUAGAGAUCAACCCCAAACAAUUCCAACAUAGAAACAGAAA